CCUGCCUACCAUGGUGAUAACGGGUAACGGGGAAUCAGGGUUCGAUUCCGGAGAGGGAGCCUGAGAAACGGCUACCACUUCCAAGGAAGGCAGCAGGCGCGCAAAUUACCCAAUCCCGGCACGGGGAGGUAGUGACGAAAAAUACGGAUACGGGACUCAUUAGAGGCUCCGUAAUUCGAAUGAGUACAAUUUAAAUCCUUUAACGAGGAUCAACUGGAGGGCAAGUCUGGUGCCAGCAGCCGCGGUAACUCCAGCUCCAGAAGCGUAUAUUAAAGUUGUUGCAGUUAAAAAGCUCGUAGUUGGAUCUGGGUCGCAUGGCUACAUGCCGUUGCUCGUAUUCCUGGCCUGGUUCACACCGGGACGGGUUUGUGAGUCGGUGUCGUGGUUGUGCAGCCUUUCUGCCGUGUCUGUUUCGACAGGUGUUAGCAUGAUUGGUGGGUUCGUCCUGCUGAUCUGUUGACA
rnacentral:rRNA from 1 species